rnacentral:rRNA from 1 species
GAUGAACGCUGGCGGCGUGCCUAAUACAUGCAAGUCGAGCGAACAGACGAGGAGCUUGCUCCUCUGACGUUAGCGGCGGACGGGUGAGUAACACGUGGAUAACCUACCUAUAAGACUGGGAUAACUGCGGGAAACCGGAGCUAAUACCGGAUAAUAUAUUGAACCGCAUGGUUCAAUAGUGAAAGACGGUUUUGCUGUCACUUAUAGAUGGAUCCGCGCCGCAUUAGCUAGUUGGUAAGGUAACGGCUUACCAAGGCAACGAUGCGUAGCCGACCUGAGAGGGGGAGCGGCCACACUGGAACUGAGACACGGUCCAGACUACUACGGGAGGCAGCAGUAGGGAAUGUUACGCAAUGGGCGAAAGCCUGACGGAGCAACGCCGCGUGAGUGAUGAAGGUCUUCGGAUCGUAGAACUCUGUUAUUAGGGAAGAACAAAUGUGUAAGUAACUAGGCACGUCUUGACGGUACCUAAUCAGAAAGCCACGGCUAACUACGUG